CUGUGCACAUCUCAGUCCUGAGUGGAUGAAAUCCUGCAGCGGAAGCUUUCUGACGCCUUCUUAGCAUCAGUCCUGCUUUUAUUCUUACUUGGAGCUGAAGCAGAGUCUUGCUGACAGGAUUUAAUAUGAGGAAGUUUUGCAACAUAAUUUACAGCUGGUGACUUCUCAGUGAAUGUCAGAAGAGAUGCUCAAAGACUGGAAAAGGCGAAUCUCUGGUUAGCUAGGACGUCGUUGAGGAACACCAUGCCCUCUCCUGUGCCU